rnacentral:misc_RNA from 1 species
UGGUUCUGGCAUCGAUGAAGAACGCAGCGAAAUGCGAUAAGUAAUGUGAAUUGCAGAAUUCCAGUGAAUCAUCGAAUCUUUGAACGCACAUUGCGCCCAUUAGUAUUCUAGUGGGCAUGCCUGUUCGAGCGUCAUUUCAGCCCUCAAGCUCGGCUUGGUUUUGGAGUAUUCGGGCGCCCGUGGCCCCGAAGCUCUCGAAGAUAUUGGCGGCGUACCGCAGCACUCUAUGUAGUAAAUUAUUUUCAUAGGGCUGCCCGCGGUACCUGCUAGCCACUAAUCAACUCGAAAACUAUAGAAUGGUUGACCUCGGAUCAGGUAGGAAUACCCGCUGA